AUGAAUCCAACCAUACAAUGAAUCUGACUUAACUAGCCAUACAAUGCAUCUAAAAGCAACUAAAUGAAUUUAAUAAAAGAUAAAUAUGUCCUAUAGAUGAUUUGAACAAAGGCCACAAAUUUAGAAGCUAAAUAGCCAUUUCAAUUUUCCUUUAAAACAUUAAAUAAGCCUUGAUUUUUUUUGGUCCAAUCUUGGACUUUUUCUUUUCAAAAUUAGCUCAUAUCCUUUGGAUUAGCUUAUUAAGUACUUCUUUGAACCAUCUAGCUUUUGCUCUUGUAUUUGACCCAUUUGGACCUUGUAAUGGAUCUUUAAGUGUUGCUCAUUUAUUUUCAUCAUUCAUUUCCUCUUGAAAAGGAUUUGUCCUCAAAUCUUCACCUACAUCAAAAGGAGAUAAAUUAGAGGCACAAAAACUUACACUCACAUUAUACUCACAUUAAACUUUAUCACAUUUUUCAUUAUAUACUUAACACCACCAUCCAUUACUAUUUUCAUAGUGGUUUAAUUUCCACUUAAGUCCCUUGUACAUGUUUUACUUAAAGAUUCAUUAACAAUUGAAUUUUUACUAUUUUUACAAUUUAGUCAUUUUACCUUAAUUAAUCAUUAAUUAGAUAAAAUUAAUUAUUUGAAACUCAAUUUACUUCUAAAAUAACUCCCUAGAUAUUUAAUAAAAUUAUUUAUGACUUUAGUUUACGGAAAUGAGGUAAUGGAAUCAUGUUUUCUGACAUUAUAGACUUUCGGGUCGGUAACGUCCCUUAACCCUAUACCAUCGUCGAAACAGGGUUACGAAACAUUACCAGUCAGUACAGUCCAAUUUCAGUCAUUAAUUAAAAUAAAUAUUCAUCCUCAUCCUAGUUUUAAGAUGUCGUCCCUUUAAUGGGCCCUCGCGGUCCAAUAUGGACAGUAAAUUCAAUUUGGAACUAAUUUAGAAUCAAUACGAUUUUUUUUUAUAUUUCAAAAUUCAUACUAUAUACCGUUGCCAACCAUAAUUUACUUAGUUCAUCAAUACUUUUACAACUUAAAUGACUCUCAUUAAACAUCUUAGGUACAUGCCAUUAUCAAUACUCAACAUACUUUACCUCAUUGAAUUCGAGAUCGGCCUGGAAUGUUGAUUCGACAGUCUAGCCUUAACUUCACCUGCGCACAGAAACAAACCGUAUGCUGAGUAUACACUCAGUGGUAUUUCUAUAAUCCGAACACUUGAUAAUAUAACAAUUAAACUUAAAAUCACAAUAACAAAUAUAACUAUUCAUUUAUUUAUUUUAUAGAUAAGUUUCAUUUAGUUACCAUAAAAAUUCUAUACAAGUCAUAUAACAAACACAACAACAUAUUUGCUCAAUUCUUUUCAUUUGCUUACCGUAUAAAUUCUUUACAAUAUAUUCACAAUUCAUUUGUAUUCACACUUUACUUCUUAACAAUAUACCAUUUUAAUUCAUUCUAACAUCAAUCAUCAUCCAUUUGAACUUCACUUAUUUCAUGAACCUUUUGGUUCAUGUUUUCAAUCUCAUAUCUCAAUUUCAAUUCUCAAUUCAAUUUCUCAUUUCAUUCCAAUAGCUCAAUCAAUCAAAUUCACUCGAUUUAUCUUUUCACUUAUUUACCCCUAUUAACAAGACUCGAACUCUAAUAGAUACGUGGAUUCCUCCCAAACACACCAGAAUAUCCAACCCAAACACACCAAAAUAUCCAACCCAAAAACACCCGGAAUAUUAUAAAUCCUCCAUAACACACCAGUAUAUCAUAUCCUCCCAAACACACCAAUAAGGCAUUAAAUGCCUCUUCAGAUAAACCGAAGUAUAUAAUAACAAAAACAUCUUCUCGGCCGAACUACAAAUCUCCUCAUCACAUCAUAAAUCCAAUGGCAUGCCAUUUGUAUCCAAUCUAGUCCGAUACUGUUAAUAGGGUAUUCGAUUCACUUUCUCAAUUUAAUAAAUCUUUCAUCAAUAUACCAUUCUAAUAAUCACAUAUAUUCACACAUUUUCAUAAUUUCAUAAAUUUUCAUUCAAUUCAACAAAUAUAUUUCAAUGAUUCACAUUAAUUCAUAAUUCAAUACAACUCAAUUCACUUUUCAAUAUCAAAUAUUCAAUUAUCACAAAUGUCAUAUAUUCAUAUCAAUUCCCUCAUAUUCCAAUCAAUAUAAUUUUUCAAUAUAACAUUCAUUCAAUAUUCAAAUUUUUACAUAAAUCAUAUAUAUAAUAUAUAUUUCAAUCAAUAUAAAUUCAAUCAAAAUGAUUUCAAUCAAUAUAAAUUUGAUAAAUUCAUCACAUACCAAAAUCAAUCCAUUUCGAUUGUAAAACAUCAUAAUUCUAACACUAACAAUUGUCAUAUGUAUAUAAAUAUAACAAAUAAUGACUGAGUUCGGAUUAUAGAAAUACAAACCGUAAUUUUUGAGCUAACUCCCGUCGACUUUGUCUUGUCCUUCCUUAGCCGAGAUUUUCGGUACCACAUUGACUACGAAAUUAAUACAAUUCAUAAUCAUUAAUACAUUACUAAUUUAUAUCUUGAGUUACAGAAUUCUAAAUUAAGAUCCGUUAAUUUUUCCUGAAACUAGACUCACAAAUCUUCUUACCAUAAAAUUUUCAGAAUUUUUGGUUUAGCCAUUAAGUACAGUUUAUUCUUUAAAUUCACCCCUAUUCUGCUGUCUGAUAGUUUCGACCCUUCUUCACUAAAAAUUAAUUAUCUCAUAGUACAGAACUCGGAUAAUAUUCCUGUUGAUUUCUCAUAAAAAUAGACUCAUUAGGGAUUCUAAAAAUAUAAAUUUAACCCUCUAAUUAUUUUUCUCCAAUUUUUGGUGAUUUUCCAAAUUCAGAACAGGGGAACCCGAAUUCAUUCUGACCUUGUCUCACAAAAUUCAUUAUAUCUCAUAAUUUACAAUUCAAUUGCUUAAAAAAUUUCUUUUAUAAGAAACUAGACUCAAUAAGAUUUAAUUCCAUAUUUUAUUCAUCCUCUAAUUCAAUUUAUAAAAUUUUUGGUGAUUUUUCAAACUUAGACUACUUCUGCUGUCCAAAAUAGUCUUAGUGCAAAAUGUUGAUUUUCUACUUUUAAUUUCAAUUUAAUCCUAACUAAAUUCACUUACUUUUCUAUCUUAAUUCAUACUUUAUUUCUACUCAAUUUUUAACCAAACUUAGACAUAAUUAUCUAUUUUUCAUCAUAAAACCAUAAUUUCGAAAUUCUUUCAAUUUAGUCCUUAAAGCAUAAAACUUAUGAAUCACUUUACAAUUCAAUCCUUAUUUCAUUUCUAACUUGAAUUUCUAUCAAUUUAGCCUUUAAUUUAUCAUUUUACUCAACAUGAACAAUAUUUAUAAAUCUAAUAACUUUCAAAAUAUUAACUUAAUUUCAUCAAAACUUUGUUCUAAAGCUUUUAAAACAUCAAAAUUAAGUAAAAAGGGCUAAAUUGACAUACCUAUUAAAGUUUAAAGCUUCAAAACCUUGAUUUUCCCUUUUUUCCCUUUCUUUCUUUCUUUCCUUUCUUUCUCCCCUGUUCUUCUCUGUUUCGUUUGCUUUGUUUUUCUUUUUCAUUUCUUUUAUUUCAUUUAUUUC
rnacentral:lncRNA from 1 species